rnacentral:tRNA from 1 species
UGCUCGUGGCCAACGGCAUCAAGGCGCUGGCCUACCACGCCGGCAUGGACGCCGCGACACGCGCCGCCAAUCAGGACCAUUUCCUGAUGGAGCGC